GCCUUCGUGGUGUAAUGGUCAGCACACUGAGCCGGUAUUUCAGAGGUCCGCGGUUCGAUCCCCCCCGAAGGCA
rnacentral:tRNA from 1 species